AUUUCCGCCGGCGCGAAACGAGCGUAGCUUCCUUGUCGUGUGGCCUCAGUCCUUCGCCGUCCCUCGCCGUCCUUCGCCAUCGCACGCCACCGCACCCCAUCUCUCGAAAUCUGCAGACAUCUUGAUUUUUCCCACGCUGUCUGUCAGGUCUCCGCCGCCACUCGACGCCAGGGCGCCGGGUGAGUCCACAGCAGGGCGCAUGGUCGGCUCCACUCUCACCAUCGGGGGAAACUGAGGCCCCGGGGAAGGCGGCCAGAGAGGUCAGGCCCUGUCCUUGGUGCAGUGUCUCGUCCUCUUUGCCGGAGUGAGCCCCCCAGGAUUCGCGUGUCCUCGGGAAAGACACUGGCAGGCCUUGUGGGCUGUGCUGCACCUCGGACGGCUUCGCACCAGCCAGCGCCCUCUCUCUCCUGCAGCACUCUGAUCUGCACCCCCUGAGGGGCUUCCACUGUCCGCGGGGUGAGAAUGCCCCUGGGAGUGUCACAUGACUGCCGCCCCAUGUGUGUGAGAGGCGUCCUCUGGGAGAGCAUGGAUCCUGAGGUCCCAGGAUUGUCAGCUGACCUCUGUCCUGUGUGCCCAGUGGCCCCAGGUGACGUGUCUUCAAGAAGAGGCUGAGCUGCGGUGCUUGUAAGAUGGGUCUGCUGUGUGCAGAGGCUCCAUGGGAUGUGUUGUCUUCAUAGUAGCAGGGCGCUGGACCAUGGGUCCGCAAGGUCUCAGCCUUAGAUCCAAGGACAGUCCAAGGAAGUCCUAAGACCAUGGAGUUGGUGAUCUGGGAUCUGGGUUUGCUGAUAUUUCUCACCGUGAAUCUCUUGGUGGUGUUUGUGGGCACGAGAGGGGCAGAGAAUGGAGAGUGAGGCUACCACAUGAAGCGUCACCAGAGCUGCUCCCUGCUGCCUGCUCAGAGCACCCCGGAUCCACUGUUCAAUCUGCACAAGAUUCGGGGUCCAGACAUGGGAGACUUCAGCUGCCUCAGAGGACCGUGGACAGGGAAGGCCAGCCUCGCAUCCCUCUGUCCAUGCCUGGAAUGACUUUAAUAACCAAGAGUUUUAUUUUUGAAUUUGUAGCUGUCGUUCACUUUUUACCCACCCAUUCAAUAAACCUUACAGAAUUGCUCCAUGUGCUUCUUAAAUCAGUGACAACCUGUGAGCCUGCCAGGCUGGCUUUGGAGAAGGUAGGCCAUAGGCCAGAUCUGAUUUUCACUCUUCCUUGGCUCAGAGGAUAUUGUUUGAGGUAUACAUUUGGAACUAGGAGGUGAACAAGUGCUGGUAGUUGGUUCACAUUUAGGCAUUUAGGACCCAUGAUAAUUCAGGGCAUUGCAGAAUAGUCAGGGUAGAUUAUGGAGUGAGACAGGUCUGAUGUCAUUCAGGAAGGCUGGAGUGUCCUGGAUGACGUGGCUCAUAAGUAAAUGCCUACUUGUGAGAUCAACUGUCCCAGUUUGCCUGAGAUUGAGGGACUUCCCAGAAAGUGGGUUUUUCAUUGCUAAACCCAGGGAGAUCUUGAGCAAACUGGGACAAGUUGGUCAGCAUGUGUGGGAUGUAAAAAUCCAUGGUGUCAGCUUGAGAGGACAGGUUAUGGGGUAACAGUGGGAGUAGGGUGAACAUGGAGCAGCUGCCAUUGAUGGAACUGAGGGGUACUCUUAAGUUCAGGCUUUGGAGAUUAGGGUAAAGUCACUUAUUGCAAGGCCUAGGCAUGGUGCCUUGUGCCUGUAUUACUAGCACUUUGGGAGGCCAAGGUGGGAUGAUUUCUUGAGGCCAGGAGAUCAAAACCAGCCUAGGCAGCAGACCCCGUCUCCACAAAAAAUUAGCCAGGCACGGUAGCGCACUCCUGUAGUCCCAGCUACUCAGGAGGCUGAGGCAGGAGGAUUGCUUAAGCCCAGGAAUUCGAGGAUUCAAUGAGUUAAUGAUGGCACCACUGCAGCCCAGCCUGGGUGCCAGAGUGAGACCUGUUUUUAAGAGAAAGAAAAAUUGCAGCAAUGACAUGAUCUAAGGAUGUGCACGCAUGAACUGUCAUCUCUGAUUCACAGAGGGAGG
ensembl:lncRNA SNHG17 small nucleolar RNA host gene 17